GCUUCUCCUUCGGGAGCAGAGUGACAGGUGGUGCAUGGUUGUUGUCAGCUCGUGUCGUGAGAUGUUGGGUUAAGUCCCGCAACGAGCGCAACCCUUGAUCUUAGUUGCCAUCAUUUAGUUGGGCACUUUAAGGUGACUGCCGGUGACAAACCGGAGGAAGGUGGGGAUGACGUCAAAUCAUCAUGCCCCUUAUGACCUGGGCUACACACGUGCUACAAUGGACGGUACAAAGAGCUGCAAGACCGCGAGGUGGAGCUAAUCUCAUAAAACCGUUCUCAGUUCGGAUUGUAGGCUGCAACUUGCCUACAUGAAGCGGAAUCGCUUGUAAUCGCGGAUCAGCAUGCCGCGGUGAAUACGUUCCCGGGCCUUGUACACACCGCCCGUCACACCACGAGAGUUUGUAACACCCGAAGUCGGUGGGGUAACC
rnacentral:rRNA from 1 species